rnacentral:lncRNA from 1 species
CCCUCUUGUUUGGAUAAUUACAACCACCCCCUCAACUGAUCAAAUUUAGUGGAAUCUUCGAGAUUAUAUGAAAUAUUAUCACUUUUGUACCCGUUUUAUCCCAUUCAAACUCUACAUUAUGAAGCAAGAUGACCAUAAUAUGUGAUUUUAGCUUGUAUAUAUCAGUUUGUGGUGCAUCGAAAACUGUAUUUUUUACACAAAGAGUACAAACUAGAGCACAUUUCACGGAAUCUAGAUGACUAUGUUGAAUUUAGCACCAUAAAGGUAAGAAAAAAUCAUAGUUGAGGG